UAUCUCAUUGCAAGUGUAUUGACUAGAAGGUUGUAUCUCAACAUAAUCAUCUGCUAGUUACCAAGUAAAAAUAUUUUCCUAAAUCCAAAGAAAUGUAGCAAAAGGUAAACUCAUGUUGCAUAAACAGAGCUUGCUAACAUGCUGAGAAUAGCACUCUCUGACUGCUUCCUUUACAGGAAUAACAAUGGGACUGUUUGGAUGACUAAGGGCUGAGGGAUCAACUCUGCGGUCAGGUCAGAUCUGGACCAAAAUCAAAAGAUCAGAAAUCAGGAAUUUGACCAGCAAACCAACUGCAUUUUGUGAAAAAAAGAAGGAAAAGCAAGGAAAGGGAGAUAAAAGAGAAGAAAAAGUAACACAUAGAACCAAUCAAAGGGGGGGAAAGGAAUAUGAAAUACCUCCUGAAUCUUCGAGCACUGGUCAAAUAGUUACUCCAGGAUGACUGCUAGUGAUGGACAGAUCCUUAUUUGUAAGUAUUUAAUGUUUCUUAGGAAGCACUUCUAAAAGAAAUUGGUAUGUAAUGACAGCACUCACUGGAAAACAGGCCGAUUAGAAAAUGCACUAACUUAUCUGGUAUUCAUUUGAAAAGUAAAUGGAUGCAAGUAAAGGUGAGAGUUCACUACCAAUUCAAAUAUUUUGCUUUAACAGGCACUCGCACUCCUGCUUUAAUUCAAGCAGAAACACAAGUAUGAAUAAUCAAACUGGAUGAUGCUCAUCAAAACCUUUGUGCCUUGCACCAUUUCAAAUGGUCAUUGAAGCUUAAUGGCAAAAAAUUUACAU
rnacentral:lncRNA from 1 species